rnacentral:rRNA from 1 species
CCUACGGGGUGCACCAGUGGGGAAUAUUGCACAAUGGGCGCAAGCCUGAUGCAGCCAUGCCGCGUGUAUGAAGAAGGCCUUCGGGUUGUAAAGUACUUUCAGCGGGGAGGAAGGUGUUGAGGUUAAUAACCUCAGCAAUAGACGUUACCCGCAGAAGAAGCACCGGCUAACUCCGUGCCAGCAGCCGCGGUAAUACGGAGGGUGCAAGCGUUAAUCGGAAUUACUGGCGUAAAGCGCACGCAGGCGGUCUGUCAAGUCGGAUGUGGAAUCCCCGGGCUCAACCUGGGAACUGCAUUCGAAACUGGCAGGCUAGAGUCUUGUAGAGGGGGUAGAAUUCCAGGUGUAGCGGUGAAAUGCGUAGAGAUCUGGAGGAAUACCGGUGGCGAAGGCGGCCCCCUGGACGAAGACUGACGCUCAGGUGCGAAAGCGUGGGGAGCAAACAGGAUUAGAUACCCGCGUAGUC